CGCAUAUUGCGCUCCUCGGUAUUCCGGGGAGCAUGCCUGUUUGAGAAUCGAUAAACCAAAUCAACCCUUUGAAGGUACCAAUUGGUGCCAACGGAGUGGUUGGACUUGGGCAAUUAUCUUUACCGAUAAUGCCUGAAAAGCAGCGUCGACCUUGGCUUUACUGUUACUUGGAACGAAUUUACUUGAUGCAAGUCAUUACCUUCAGUCCAUAUAACAUCAAGUGAAGCUUGGGGCGAUCAAGUCAUUAGACACCACACUUUACAGUGUUAAACUUGGUCUCAAAUCAGGCAAGAGUACCCGCUGAACUUAA
rnacentral:misc_RNA from 1 species